rnacentral:rRNA from 1 species
UACGGGGGGGGUAAGCGUUGUUCGGAAUUACUGGGCGUAAAGGGCUCGUAGGCGGCCAACUAAGUCAGACGUGAAGUCCCUCAGCUUAACUGGGGAACUGCGUCUGAUACUGGAUGGCUUGGAUUUGGGAGAGGGAUGCGGAAUUCCAGGUGUAGCGGUGAAAUGCGUAGAUAUCUGGAGGAACACCGGUGGCGAAGGCGGCAUCCUGGACCAAUAUUGACGCUGAGGAGCGAAAGCCAGGGAAGCAAACGGG